rnacentral:rRNA from 1 species
GACGAACGCUUGCGGCGUGCUUAACACAUGCAAGUCGAACGGAAAGGCCCUGCUUUUGUGGGGUGCUCGAGUGGCGAACGGGUGAGUAACACGUGAGUAACCUGCCCUUGACUUUGGGAUAACUUCAGGAAACUGGGGCUAAUACCGGAUAGGAGCUCCUGCUGCAUGGUGGGGGUUGGAAAGUUUCGGCGGUUGGGGAUGGACUCGCGGCUUAUCAGCUUGUUGGUGGGGUAGUGGCUUACCAAGGCUUUGACGGGUAGCCGGCCUGAGAGGGUGACCGGCCACAUUGGGACUGAGAUACGGCCCAGACUCCUACGGGAGGCAGCAGUGGGGAAUAUUGCACAAUGGGCGGAAGCCUGAUGCAGCAACGCCGCGUGCGGGAUGACGGCCUUCGGGUUGUAAACCGCUUUCGCCUGUGACGAAGCGUGAGUGACGGUAAUGGGUAAAGAAGCACCGGCUAACUACGUGCCAGCAGCCGCGGUGAUACGUAGGGUGCGAGCGUUGUCCGGAUUUAUUGGGCGUAAAGGGCUCGUAGGUGGUUGAUCGCGUCGGAAGUGUAAUCUUGGGGCUUAACCCUGAGCGUGCUUUCGAUACGGGUUGACUUGAGGAAGGUAGGGGAGAAUGGAAUUCCUGGUGGAGCGGUGGAAUGCGCAGAUAUCAGGAGGAACACCAGUGGCGAAGGCGGUUCUCUGGGCCUUUCCUGACGCUGAGGAGCGAAAGCGUGGGGAGCGAACAGGCUUAGAUACCCUGGUAGUCCACGCUGUAAACGGUGGGUACUAGGUGUGGGGUCCAUUCCACGGGUUCCGUGCCGUAGCUAACGCUUUAAGUACCCCGCCUGGGGAGUACGGCCGCAAGGCUAAAACUCAAAGGAAUUGACGGGGCCCCGCACAAGCGGCGGAGCAUGCGGAUUAAUUCGAUGCAACGCGUAGAACCUUACCUGGGUUUGACAUGGAUCGGGAGUGCUCAGAGAUGGGUGUGCCUCUUUUGGGGUCGGUUCACAGGUGGUGCAUGGCUGUCGUCAGCCCGUGUCGUGAGAUGUUGGGUUAAGUCCCGCAACGAGCGCAACCCUUGUUCACUGUUGCCAGCACGUUAUGGUGGGGACUCAGUGGAGACCGCCGGGGUCAACUCGGAGGAAGGUGGGGAUGACGUCAAGUCAUCAUGCCCCUUAUGUCCAGGGCUUCACGCAUGCUACAAUGGCUGGUACAGAGAGUGGCGAGCCUGUGAGGGUGAGCGAAUCUCGGAAAGCCGGUCUCAGUUCGGAUUGGGGUCUGCAACUCGACCUCAUGAAGUCGGAGUCGCUAGUAAUCGCAGAUCAGCAACGCUGCGGUGAAUACGUUCCCGGG